rnacentral:tRNA from 1 species
GCCGGUGUAGCUCAAUUGGCAGAGCACCUGUCUUGUAAACAGGGGGUUAGGGGUUCAAGUCCCCUCACCGGCUCC